GUGGGAGGAAGCUCAUUGUAGAGGUCACGUGCCGAGUACUUGUUACUCCACCAAUCACCUUGGGGAAGGUCUGAGACAAGAGCCAAUAGUUGCCCUAGCAGGGUAGCGUCUGACAGAGGCGAGCGGCUAACUAGCAACAUGGUUGUACGUGAACGGAUUGAACAGGAGAUGUCGCUGUGGCCAAUUAACUGACCAUUGCGACGGAUGUGACGUUCACCACAUUGGAAUGUGUCGCGGCUGGCAAAUGAGCACGAUGUAUGAGAUGGUGCCUAGCAUCACAACCCAAUUCAGACUACUCUCCUUCCAC
rnacentral:RNase_P_RNA from 1 species